UACAGAGGUCUCAAGCGUUGUUCGGAUUCAUUGGGCGUAAAGGGUGCGUAGGUGGCGGGGCAAGUCUGGUGUGAAAUCCCGGGGCUCAACCCUGGAACUGCACUGGAUACUGCUUUGCUAGAGUACUGGAGAGGGAACUGGAAUUUACGGUGUAGCAGUGAAAUGCGUAGAUAUCGUAAGGAAGACCAGUGGCGAAGGCGGUUGCCUGGGGCUUUGCUGACGCUGAGGCGCGAAAGCGUGGGGAGCGAUCCGG
rnacentral:rRNA from 1 species